rnacentral:rRNA from 1 species
GAUGAACGCUGGCGGCGUGCCUAAUACAUGCAAGUCGAGCGAACGGACGAGAAGCUUGCUUCUCUGAUGUUAGCGGCGGACGGGUGAGUAACACGUGGAUAACCUACCUAUAAGACUGGGAUAACUUCGGGAAACCGGAGCUAAUACCGGAUAAUAUUUUGAACCGCAUGGUUCAAAAGUGAAAGACGGUCUUGCUGUCACUUAUAGAUGGAUCCGCGCUGCAUUAGCUAGUUGGUAAGGUAACGGCUUACCAAGGCAACGAUGCAUAGCCGACCUGAGAGGGGGGUCGGCCACACGGGAACUGAGACACGGUCCAGACGCCUACGGGAGGCAGCAGUAGGGAAUCUUCCGCAAUGGGCGAAAGCCUGACGGAGCAACGCCGCGUGAGUGAUGAAGGUCUUCGGAUCGUAAAACUCUGUUAUGAGGGAAGAACAUAUGUGUAAGUAACUGUGCACAUCUUGACGGUACCUAAUCAGAAAGCCACGGCUAACUACGUG